GGGAAACAAUGAUUCCUAAUUCGUAUUAGAGUUAAGUUUUCGGUUUCGAAAAAAAAAAAAGUUUUCGGUUUUCCUUCUAAAAAAAUGUUUGAAACCCUCUCAAUGUUUUCUUUGCUCAGCUCCUCACCCGUAGAAACAAUGGAUGAUAUAAGGCAACAAAAAUCCAUAUGGUGCAAAUUCAAUGAUGAUGCCGGGUUGGUUUGGGUCACAAUGAGGAGUUCCCCAUUUGAAAGAGGGUGAUGCUCGGCCGCAAGGAGGGAGACCAAGAUGGGCGGCGCCACCAAAUUCUAAGAUGGGUCAUUGGUUGAUUCUUUUGAAGAAGAUUGCUCAGUCUCAUAAUUUGCUUCCUGAGUUUGAUGUAUGUAGAAGAAGUGUGUUGAAAAAGAUUUUGGGGUGUUUUCUAAAUAGUUGUUAGAGUUGAUUGGGUUAGUGUGCUUUUUUAUUCUA